ACGCUGGCGGCAUGCUUUACACAUGCAAGUCGGACGGCAGCACAGAGAAGCUUGCUUCUUGGGUGGCGAGUGGCGAACGGGUGAGUAAUAUAUCGGAACGUACCGAGUAAUGGGGGAUAACUAAUCGAAAGAUUAGCUAAUACCGCAUAUUCUCUGAGGAGGAAAGCAGGGGACCUUCGGGCCUUGCGUUAUUCGAGCGGCCGAUAUCUGAUUAGCUAGUUGGUGGGGUAAAGGCCUACCAAGGCGACGAUCAGUAGCGGGUCUGAGAGGAUGAUCCGCCACACUGGGACUGAGACACGGCCCAGACUCCUACGGGAGGCAGCAGUGGGGAAUUUUGGACAAUGGGCGCAAGCCUGAUCCAGCCAUGCCGCGUGUCUGAAGAAGGCCUUCGGGUUGUAAAGGACUUUUGUCAGGGAAGAAAAGGCUGUUGCUAAUACCGACAGCUGAUGACGGUACCUGAAGAAUAAGCACCGGCUAACUACGUGCCAGCAGCCGCGGUAAUACGUAGGGUGCGAGCGUUAAUCGGAAUUACUGGGCGUAAAGCGAGCGCAGACGGUUACUUAAGCAGGAUGUGAAAUCCCCGGGCUCAACCUGGGAACUGCGUUCUGAACUGGGUGACUAGAGUGUGUCAGAGGGAGGUAGAAUUCCACGUGUAGCAGUGAAAUGCGUAGAGAUGUGGAGGAAUACCGAUGGCGAAGGCAGCCUCCUGGGAUAACACUGACGUUCAUGCUCGAAAGCGUGGGUAGCAAACAGGAUUAGAUACCCUGGUAGUCCACGCCCUAAACGAUGUCAAUUAGCUGUUGGGCAACUUGAUUGCUUAGUAGCGUAGCUAACGCGUGAAAUUGACCGCCUGGGGAGUACGGUCGCAAGAUUAAAACUCAAAGGAAUUGACGGGGACCCGCACAAGCGGUGGAUGAUGU
rnacentral:rRNA from 1 species